UAACGUGAAGCAUACUUAUUUUAAGUCAACCAUGAGGGUUUUAUCUAUUUUAAUGCACGCAUAGAUAAUCACUUUUACGUAUAUAAAGUGCUGUCAGAGCUGUAGUCUAUCAUUCGUUACACACAACGUAUACCAUGAAGAUUGUAAUUGCUUUUCUCGUUGUCUGUCUUUUAGGUAAGUGAGAAAAGUUUAUGUUUUAAAACAAUGAACUUAUUAAAUAUGUAUGUUGAUAUAAGGUGCCAUGUAUUUGCAAGUAUAUUCAGCACGAGAGAAAAAUAAACAAAACUUAAAACGAAAUGAUUUAAAAAAAAAAAAAAAAAAAGCAUUGCAGCAGGUUUUCAAAGAUUGGGUCAAUGCUAUUUGGAGAAUGCUUUAGAGCCAAUCCAACACCCAUUAAACAAACCUCUUUAAACGAAUUCGAGAAAUCCUAUCGACUAUUUAUUAUUGUUAAAAAUCGGUUUUAAAGUGCACAAAUCGGAUUAAAUGUGCUUUUUCGCAUUCAUUUGUAACGCAUUUAUAACAUAAGUUAUGUUAAGGUAGGUGUUUUCUAUUUUCAAAAAAAUUAAGGAACUAUGAUUAUUAAUUUUUGAUAAGGUGCUAGUAUUUUACAAAGAAGUCCCAUCAAAUCGUUCAACACAUUGUAAGAUGGACAAUAAAAUAUUCCUAUAUUUAAAACUGAAGGGACAAAUUACAACGUUUAUUAUUGGCUCUCCUUUAUAUCAUUCUUCUUCAGCACAGACAUUCAACAUGCAAUUCUUUAUAAAACAGUCAUACAUUUCAAAUAUCAGAAUUAAUAGUGCCUAUAUAUAUAUACGACUUUCUUUUCGCAUGUAAAGCAUGUCAAGAUCCCAAUAACGUGAAUUCGAAUUUGAAAAAUUACAUAACAGUGUGUAUUUUCCCCAUUUUAAAGUUGAAAUAAUGAUCUAGUUUAUUUUCCAGUUGUGUUAAGUGUAAAGUAGAAUUUACCACCAUGACAACAAAACGUUUAUAUUUUGUUUGUAUAUGUAGGUUAUAUCAGUGCCGAGGAUUGUCCUACUAACAAUGCUGAUCGGGAUUGUGACCACAUAAAGUGUGAAGAUCAUUGGCAUAAGGCAUGUGUAUCAAGCACAUGCACCUGUCUACACAGUACUGAUGGAGGACAAGGUAUGAAGGAUUAAAAACAUGAUAUCUUUAACUACAGUUUACGUUAAUAUGAAUUUAACAACAGAACAGUAGUAUACUACAAAAAACAAAAUCGGGAUAACAAACUAAAACCGAGGGAAACGCAUUAAAUAUAAGAGGAGAACAACGACAUAACUAAAAUGUAACACACAUAGACAAAUCCCACGGAAUAACAAAUAUAAGCAUAUAUAUUAACAUCAAAACCAAUACAAUGAAUUUGGGAUAGACAAGUACCGUGACACGUCUUAUCGCAAUGUGAAUUUACACUCAAAAAGAGAAAACAAACGACACAACGUAUAUAUGUAAUACACACAGAAACGAACUAUAAUAUAACAAUGACCAUAUUCCUGACUUGGUACAGGGCAUUUUUAAAGGAAAAAAUGGUGGGUUGAACCUGGUUUUGUGGCAUGCCAAACCUCGCACUUUUAUGGCCAUGUGAAAAUAACAUCAAAAUGACAACACAGGACUACAAUAUAAAAAAUUGGAGAACUCAAUGACAAAAAUCACACGAACAACACCAACAAAAAAGGCAACAAGUUCAAAUUUUAAUCGCCAGAAGUGUAUUUUGUCCACACAAGACCUAUGUGUGACGCACAGAUACAAAAGUUUGAAAGCCGAAACGAUACAAAGUUGAACAGCAUCGAGGACAAAAAUCAAAAGGUGUGUCAAAAACGGCAAGGGUUUUCUGUUGUUACAAAAAUCCCUAUAAUUUAGAGUAAUUUAUACUUUAAACAGUAAAUUUAAUAAAAUGAAUAUACAAAAGAUGUACAUGAUAAAAGCUGAAGUUUAACUAAUUACAGGAAACACUGGAAAUACAUUUACAUAACCAGACAUUUGAAACACAAAAGUAGACACAUCCGAAUACGUUUAAACCUCUACGCCAAGUGACGUCCUAUUUGAAACGUGUUAUAUAUAUCUUUCUAGAGGUGUCGCACUUUUGUAUUGAAAAACGAUAUUAAGACAUAUUUUAGAAAUAUCUAAAUUAGUAAAAUAAUCUGAACUUUGCAGCACUCUCAUAUACUACUUUAUCCCAUUUGAAACACUUUGAAAUAUAUUUUGUAUAUAUAUAUGGCAUUGUUUCAUUUGUUUUGCACUUUUCGUAAUAUUUUCCCUGCAUAUUUCCUUGUGUUUUAUCUUUCAUAACGGACAAUGCUUCCCCUGUCGAUGCACUGGUUUCGUUCCUAUCUAUUAAAGUUCAUGCAAUUAUCAUCGGGUUUUUCACGAGAUUUGGAUAUCGAUAAGCUCUGUCUUUUUUCUCCGAGUGGUUUUAAAAGAAAUAAUUUCACUCUGGCAUUAAAAGAAAGUAUGUGUCUUGUCAAAGGCAUCCAGCAGCUAUUUUUCUGUUUGGUAAUACUUUAGGUGUAAGAUGUACUUGUUUGAAAUACCGUGUGCUUGAAAAUAAGAGGUGGAUAAGACGCAAAUGAAAAUAUUUUUACUAUCUCCGUUCAUUAUUGACACUUAUCCGUCAGAUUGACUGAGGUAUUAACAUAUGGUCAUCACUUGACGUUUUUCUUUCCGAAAGUAACACCUUUAGGACAUCUUCUUGACAGUGUUGGAUGUAUACAUUCGGAAUGGGAAUGUUUAAUCAGAUGCAAAUAGCAGGAGAAGUGUCAUGCUCUUUAACAGGUUCAUAGUUGGUGUAUCGAACAUACCCUCAUUCCAAAUGGCAGUCCAAUUCCCACUUCAUCAUAUGGUCGCUUGCAGAACCUAGUACCUUUUGUAAAAUUCAUUAAGUUGGUCUCCUCCUGAAUGUAUAGUGUAAUAGUCAUUAUCAAUAAGUGUUAAGCAUGCAAUAAUUAAUCAAUCAAUCCUUUACAUUUUGAUUAAAAAAACUAUGUGUUUAAAUCACUGUCAUCUAAACUCUAGUGGAUAGUUGGUUCGUCAACUAUAUCUUCUUUUGUUUAGACGAGCUACAAUUUCAAUUUCUGCAAAUGAUUGAUGACAGGUUAACAGGAACUAUUGUUUUUAAAUCCGAACAUGAUAGUAUUUUUUAAAGAAACAAUAUUGAAUAGAAUCUGUUUCAUGAUUUAUUCUAGCCUGCACAAGCAAAGCCGAGUGCGACGCCAUAAAUGGUUGGUCCUGUUCAAACUCACGCAGACACUGUGUUGAUGGAAGAUGUAGAUGUUCUAGGUUUUAGAGGAAACAAUACAGAAUAAUAAUCAUCUUGGAAAAUGCAGGAUAUGUUUAUACUUGAAUGAUUAAAGCAAUUACAAAAACUGUGUAUGGAUUUGUGUUUAUAUGCACAGAACGGAAGAUUGUUGAAAG
rnacentral:lncRNA from 1 species